ACCACGUAGGGCAUUAUUCAUGCGCGAAAAGUAGGGUUCUGGACUAUUCCUUUUUUUAGGGCGGCCCGGCGCCGGCCCCGCGGGCGUAGUCAAGAGGCAGCAGUUAGGCUUAUUUUUUUGGCUUUUGAGGUAGGCUGCGCGGAAUUGAAAAAAACACACAGCAGCGUGGGUACGGCUGGCGGCAUAGAAGAAAGAACAAACCUGUGGAGGAACAAGAAGGUGGCGCACGGCGGCGGUGCUGGUGGCGUUCAUGGCGCGUUACGGCUGUGCUUGUGGUGUUGAUUUCUCUUUUAUUCUCUAGAGAAAUGAAAAUUUGGUGAUUUCAUUUAUUUUUGCACCGAUCAAGUUUUUGGCAGCGUUGCCGGGGAUUGAGUUUUCCUUAUCUUUGCCAAUAUCGAUACAAAGUAUUUUUUGUGUUGGACGUUGCUAGAACCUGUAACAUUAUUCCUUUUGAUUUAGAGAUUGAAAGAACUCUCAGAGCACUAAGAAAGAAGAGGCACUAGCCAUGGAGAAUGAACAAGAGAAUGUGCAGUCAUGCACCUUGAAGGAUUAUGUAUGGCCAGUUGUGAAUGACAACUAUUCGGGUAUAAGAUGUCAAACCAUUAAUGCCAACAAUUUUGAGCUCAAACCCGCAUCAGCAUGGUGCAACAAGCCCAAUUUAGUAGAUCGCCACUUGAUAAUUCCACUAUUCAUUUGGCAAUGUUUUUGGAAAUUUGUGAUACUGUAAAGAUCAAUGAUG